GACGAACGCUGGCGGCGUGCUUAACACAUGCAAGUCGAACGAAGAGCGAUGGAAGCUUGCUUCUAUCAAUCUUAGUGGCGAACGGGUGAGUAACGCGUAAUCAACCUGCCCUUCAGAGGGGGACAACAGUCGGAAACGACUGCUAAUACCGCAUACGAUCUAAUCUCGGCAUCGAGGAUAGAUGAAAGGUGGCCUCUACAUGUAAGCUAUCACUGAAGGAGGGGAUUGCGUCUGAUUAGCUAGUUGGAGGGGUAACGGCCCACCAAGGCGAUGAUCAGUAGCCGGUCUGAGAGGAUGAACGGCCACAUUGGGACUGAGACACGGCCCAGACUCCUACGGGAGGCAGCAGCGGGGAAUCUUCCGCAAUGGACGAAAGUCUGACGGAGCAACGCCGCGUGAGUGAUGACGGCCUUCGGGCUGUAAAGCUCUGUUAAUCGGGACGAAAGGCCUUCUUGCGAAUAGUGAGAAGGAUUGACGGUACCGGAAUAGAAAGCCACGGCUAACUACGUG
rnacentral:rRNA from 1 species